rnacentral:lncRNA from 1 species
CUGUUCAACAACUCAGGAAACACUGCUCUGAGCCGGGGAAUAGAUGACUCCAGUUCGUAGGGCGAAUUUGAGCCUCCCUCCUGUUGGAAGGCCAGGAAGCUGAAAACAAAGGCCUUGUUACAGUUUUAAGUGGUUGGGAAAAUUCCAAAGAAAGGCGCUAUCUCAGGACAUGCAAUUCAAGUGUCAGGGUCUCUAAAUAAGCUUCGUGGCACGCGGCCCUGUAUCAGAGCACCGUGCAGAACACCACAGCCCGGAGGGCUAUGCAGUCGCUUCCUCUGGAGGGAGAUCCAUGACCCCUGCGGGUGGGGGUCCCUGCCUGGCUAACGUGGCCGCCUCCCUGGCGUGGACUCCAUGGCAGAGACAGCGCCCCGCCUCUGCCUCCUCUUGCAAGGCCACUAGUCCUGCCUGGGCCACCCUCGGCCUCAUCCAACCUGUAAGGAGAAAGCGCUGAAUGGAAAAUGAACAGGACCUGUCAGUCAGAUCCCAGCGCAGCGUGAGAACCCCGCAUGCAGGACUUCUCAUGAGCUCCCUCAAAGUGUGGACGGCAUACAAAAGAUGGGGCACCAAGGAAAGCCGCCAUCGAAUGAGUUUGCACAGUACCUGGUACGGCGUCUCUCAGACACAGCGUGAGCUUUCACGCUUGCUUUUACCCUUUUUGUCUUUGUUUGGCCUGGAUUUGCUCUGCAGGGCUAGUUUCCCCCAUACCCCCUUACCCCAGACUUCUGAAAUAAACUUUUCACCAUUAUUGGCUUGGCUUGUCCAAGGCUUUGUUCAAGGCAAGAAGAACCUGGAAUACUUUUGACUGGUGAGCCAUUUCUAAAGGAACUACCCAAUAACACAACCUAAUUGCUUCUUGUCAUGGUUCAGAUCCUAAACGUCCCUGCAAGGCCCACAUAUUGAUGGCCUGGCCCCAGCCUGAGGCACUGCUGGGAGGCAGGGAACCUUUAGGAGGUGGGACCUUGAGGGAGGGAUAAUUGGGAUGCGCCCUUCCUCUGUCUGUGUUUCCACUUCCUGUGGCCAUGAUGUGCGUGGCUGUACCCACCAUGUGCUCCGUGCCCUGAGGCACCGUCUCACCCCAGCCAUAGCAACCACCACCCUCUUUCACGCACUCAAUUACAGAUCCACUGAGGCUGCCUCCAAGCAACACUGGCAAAACCGAGUCACUAAGAGAGAUGGUGUUCCCUCAGGGUUGACGUCUGCCAAGCUCUGUUGUAGAAUAACCUGCAGGCACAUGACGUGUGUGCUCCGGCUGCUUCCCCUCCCCAGCGCCUGCAUUUGCUCAGCUGUCUACACCUUCCUACAGACCGGGUCCCAGGACCCGCUGUCUGCUACAGAGCCUGGCCCCACUGUGAGCACUAGGACAGGGCUCAGAGGAAAGAAUCUGAACCCUCGACCGCACCGCAUGCUCUACACGCUGCUGAGCCUCGGACCCUGUGCCUGGGAGGAGUCGUGCCCGGUCUCCAGUUCCUUUAGAAGUUGAGUGAGAGCAAUUGGAGAUAAUAUAAAUAGAAACCGCCAGGCCGGGGUCAGGGCGCCAUUCCCACCCAGCCACCCCCGUGCUCGUCAGGCCCGCAAACCACAUGCUAAAACCUGGCAAGACCGUAAUCAAGCUCCCCAGCUGCUAAGCCGAGAUCUGACCCGCUAGCUCGAUAAAUACACCUCAUCACAGCCCGGAAAACCACAUUGAGUUUAGAAAUCUCGGGCUCCCAGGACACCCCGGAAUCUGGUUGCUCAGCUGGGGGUGGGACCUGUCCACGGGGCACUCGCUCAGCCCCCUGUCUGUGUCACCAAAUGCAGAGUCCCUCGGGCUUCUCUCUGGGCUUUUGGUGUCCUGAACAAAGAACUGGACAGCACACAUAGAAAAGGUGCUGUGGGUGCACGUUAUUGAAGGUGGAGAAGAGGUGCGCUCUGCAGGGCUGGAGCAGCCGGUGAAAAGGCUCACGGCAUCCUGGGCAUAAGGGAAAGGAGUGCUUUUUACCCAGAAUUCCCAGGUUAUCUCGCUCUCAUGCAAAUAAGACAUUUGGGCAGUCGUCCUAUCAAACACUCACUUGGUGUCACACCAUGUAUAAACUGUCCUAUCAAAAAGCUCUUGGCUUCCUGUCGAACGUAAAUGAAGGAUCAGGAGCUGUGUCUUUUGAUUGGCUGCACCCACAUGCAAAUGAAGAAUUAGAAACAGCAUCCUCUGUUUUUUGUUUUGUCUGUCUUUUCUUCUGGUACCAGGAAUCGAACUCAUGACCUUGCUCUUGC